ACGAACGCUGGCGGCGUGCCUAAUACAUGCAAGUAGCACGCUGAAGGCGGAGCUUGCUUCUCUGGAUGAGUUGCGAACGGGUGAGUAACGCGUAGGUAACCUGCCUGGUAGCGGGGGAUAACUAUUGGAAACGAUAGCUAAUACCGCAUAAGAGUAGAUGUUGCAUGACAUUUGCUUAAAAGGUGCAAUUGCAUCACUACCAGAUGGACCUGCGUUGUAUUAGCUAGUUGGUGGGGUAACGGCUCACCAAGGCGACGAUACAUAGCCGACCUGAGAGGGUGAUCGGCCACACUGGGACUGAGACACGGCCCAGACUCCUACGGGAGGCAGCAGUAGGGAAUCUUCGGCAAUGGACGGAAGUCUGACCGAGCAACGCCGCGGGAGUGAAGAAGGUUUUCGGAUCGUAAAGCUCUGUUGUAAGAGAAGAACGAGUGUGAGAGUGGAAAGUUCACACUGUGACGGUAUCUGACCAGAAAGGGACGGCUAACUACGUG
rnacentral:rRNA from 1 species